ACAGGAGCUUGCUCCUGAAUUCAGCGGCGGACGGGUGAGUAAUGCCUAGGAAUCUGCCUGGUAGUGGGGGACAACGUUUCGAAAGGAACGCUAAUACCGCAUACGUCCUACGGGAGAAAGCAGGGGACCUUCGGGCCUUGCGCUAUCAAAUGAGCCUAGGUCGGAUUAGCUAGUUGGUGAGGUAAUGGCUCACCAAGGCGACGAUCCGUAACUGGUCUGAAAGGAUGAUCAGUCACACUGGAACUGAGACACGGUCCAGACUCCUACGGGAGGCAGCAGUGGGGAAUAUUGGACAAUGGGCGAAAGCCUGAUCCAGCCAUGCCGCGUGUGUGAAGAAGGUCUUCGGAUUGUAAAGCACUUUAAGUUGGGAGGAAGGGCAUUAACCUAAUACGUUAGUGUUUUGACGUUACCGACAGAAUAAGCACCGGCUAACUCUGUGCCAGCAGCCGCGGUAAUACAGAGGGUGCAAGCGUUAAUCGGAAUUACUGGGCGUAAAGCGCGCGUAGGUGGUUCGUUAAGUUGGAUGUGAAAGCCCCGGGCUCAACCUGGGAACUGCAUUCAAAACUGACGAGCUAGAGUAUGGUAGAGGGUGGUGGAAUUUCCUGUGUAGCGGUGAAAUGCGUAUAUAUAGGAAGGAACACCAGUGGCGAAAGGCGACCACCUGGACUGAUACUGACACUGAGGUGCGAAAGCGUGGGGAGCAAACA
rnacentral:rRNA from 1 species